rnacentral:lncRNA from 1 species
GCAGUAGCCAUUGUUGCAUAGCUACUUCAAAGCCAUUCCCAGCUUGUUCCACUUGCCAACACAACCCAGCUCUGUCCCGGUGUGGGACACCCAUGUGCAUCGGAGGGGCUGGGCUUCACCACCAGGGUGAACCUUCCCCUAAGCCAAUCAAGCCCUGGGCAUUACUGUGUGAGCACAUUGUGCUUGUGCUUGUGCCUGGUGCUUGAGUUUGCUGCAGCUGUCUUGUGACCAGAAGGGGACAAACACGAGGACAAAAGCUACCGCUCAGAGCAAGGCAACACAGAAAGCUGAAAAGAGCAUGGGUCCCGAUAGAGUGCUAAGCCCCUGAAUUAACCAACCUUGACACCAAACCUUGCUCUGCUGCCGAAGUUUUUACAAGAUUUUAAGUCCCUUUAUUGUUUAGGACAUUUUGAUUUGGGUCUUCUAUUGUUUCCUGCCA